CACGUAGGGGGCAAGCGUUGUCCGGAUUUAUUGGGCGUAAAGAGCGUGUAGGCGGCCUGACAGGUCUGCUGUGAAAACUCGAGGCUCAACCUCGAGAUGUCGGCGGAAACCGUCUGGCUAGAGUCCGGAAGAGGAGAGUGGAAUUCCUGGUGUAGCGGUGAAAUGCGCAGAUAUCAGGAAGAACACCUAUGGCGAAGGCAGCUCUCUGGGACGGUACUGACGCUGAGACGCGAAAGCGUGGGGAGCGAACAGG
rnacentral:rRNA from 1 species